CCUACGGGAGGCUGCAGUGGGGAAUAUUGGACAAUGGGGGCAACCCUGAUCCAGCCAUGCCGCGUGUGUGAAGAAGGCCCUCGGGUUGUAAAGCACUUUCAGUGAGGAAGAACGCCUGGUGGUUAAUACCCAUCAGGAAAGACAUCACUCACAGAAGAAGCACCGGCUAACUCCGUGCCAGCAGCCGCGGUAAUACGGAGGGUGCGAGCGUUAAUCGGAAUUACUGGGCGUAAAGCGCGCGUAGGUGGCUUGAUAAGCCGGUUGUGAAAGCCCCGGGCUCAACCUGGGAACGGCAUCCGGAACUGUCAAGCUAGGGUGCAGGAGAGGAAGGUAGAAUUCCCGGUGUAGCGGUGAAAUGCGUAGAGAUCGGGAGGAAUACCAGUGGCGAAGGCGGCCUUCUGGACUGACACUGACACUGAGGUGCGAAAGCGUGGGUAGCAAACAGGAUUAGAUACCCGAGUAGUC
rnacentral:rRNA from 1 species